UACGGGAGGCAGCAGUGAGGAAUAUUGGUCAAUGGGCGGAAGCCUGAACCAGCCAUGCCGCGUGCAGGAUGACGGCCCUAUGGGUUGUAAACUGCUUUUGACGGGGAGCAAUAAGGCGUACGCGUACGCUGAUGAGAGUACUCGUCGAAUAAGCAUCGGCUAACUCCGUGCCAGCAGCCGCGGUAAU
rnacentral:rRNA from 1 species